UAACUGCAACGGAGCUAAAAUAUAGGAAGGUGGAGAACAUGGCCAUUUUUUUAGGAAAAAUAAAAACCAUUAAUAACACAGGUUUCGGAGGUAGAUAAUGGGACAAAAAUCAUGGAGCAAAACCACCAGAUCAUGGGCCAGAAAUAUAUGGAACGAAACCACCACCGGAAACUACCAGGUAACUUCUC